CUCGUAGGCUGUUUGGUCAGUCAGACGUGAAAGCCCGCGGCUUAACCGCGGAACUGCGUUUGAUACUGCCAGACUUGAGUGUCGGAGAGGGUGGCGGAAUUCCGGGUGUAGGAGUGAAAUCCGUAGAUAUCCGGAGGAACACCAGUGGCGAAGGCGGCCACCUGGACGACAACUGACGCUGAGGAGCGAAAGCGUGGGGAGCGAACAGGAUUAGAUACCCUGGUAGUCCACGCGGUAAACGAUGGAUGCUGGGUGUCGGGGGUUUACCCUCGGUGCCGCAGUUAACGCGUUAAGCAUCCCGCCUGGGGAGUACGGUCGCAAGGCUGAA
rnacentral:rRNA from 1 species